UGAGGAAUAUUGGUCAAUGGGCGGAAGCCUGAACCAGCCAAGUAGCGUGCAGGACGACGGCCCUAUGGGUUGUAAACUGCUUUUAUAAGGGAAUAAAGUGGGUCACGUGUGACUUUUUGCAUGUACCUUAUGAAUAAGGACCGGCUAAUUCCGUGCCAGCAGCCGCGGUAAUACGGAAGGUCCGGGCGUUAUCCGGAUUUAUUGGGUUUAAAGGGAGCGCAGGCCGCCGGGCAAGCGUGUUGUGAAAUGCAGUCGCUCAACGUCUGCACUGCAGCGCGAACUGCCCAGCUUGAGUGCGCGCAACGUUGGCGGAAUUCGCCGUGUAGCGGUGAAAUGCUUAGAUAUCACGAAGAACUCCGAUUGCGAAGGCAGC
rnacentral:rRNA from 1 species